rnacentral:rRNA from 1 species
AGUGAACGCUGGCGGUAGGCCUAACACAUGCAAGUCGAACGGCAGCACAGUAAGAGCUUGCUCUUACGGGUGGCGAGUGGCGGACGGGUGAGGAAUACAUCGGAAUCUACUUUUUCGUGGGGGAUAACGUAGGGAAACUUACGCUAAUACCGCAUACGACCUACGGGUGAAAGCAGGGGAUCUUCGGACCUUGCGCGAUUGAAUGAGCCGAUGUCGGAUUAGCUACUUGGCGGGGUAAAGGCCCACCAAGGCGACGAUCCGUAGCUGGUCUGAGAGGAUGAUCAGCCACACUGGAACUGAGACACGGUCCAGACUCCUACGGGAGGCAGCAGUGGGGAAUAUUGGACAAUGGGCGCAAACCUGAUCCAGCCAUACCGCGUGGGUGAAGAAGGCCUUCGGGUUGUAAAGCCCUUUUGUUGGGAAAGAAAAGCAGCAGGUUAAUACCCCGCUGUUCUGACGGUACCCAAAGAAUAAGCACCGGCUAACUUCGUG